rnacentral:rRNA from 1 species
UACGUAGGGGGCAAGCGUUGUCCGGAUUUAUUGGGCGUAAAGAGCGUGUAGGCGGCCAGAUAGGUCCGUUGUGAAAACUCGAGGCUCAACCUCGAGACGCCGAUGGAAACCAUUUGGCUAGAGUCCGGAAGAGGAGAGUGGAAUUCCUGGUGUAGCGGUGAAAUGACGCAGAUAUCAGGAAGAACACCCGUGGCUAAGGCGGCUCUCUAGUACGGUACUGACGCUGAGACGCGAAAGCGUGGGGGAGCGAACAGG